GACGAACGCUGGCGGCGUGCUUAACACAUGCAAGUCGAGCGGAAAGGCCCUGCUUUUGUGGGGUGCUCGAGUGGCGAACGGGUGAGUAACACGUGAGUAACCUGCCCUUGACUUUGGGAUAACUUCAGGAAGCUGGGGCUAAUACCGGAUAGGAGCUCCUGCUGCAUGGUGGGGGUUGGAAAGUUUCGGCGGUUGGGGAUGGACUCGCGGCUUAUCAGCUUGUUGGUGGGGUAGUGGCUUACCAAGGCUUUGACGGGUAGCCGGCCUGAGAGGGUGACCGGCCACAUUGGGACUGAGAUACGGCCCAGACUCCUACGGGAGGCAGCAGUGGGGAAUAUUGCACAAUGGGCGGAAGCCUGAUGCAGCAACGCCGCGUGCGGGAUGACGGCCUUCGGGUUGUAAACCGCUUUCGCCUGUGACGAAGCGUGAGUGACGGUAAUGGGUAAAGAAGCACCGGCUAACUACGUG
rnacentral:rRNA from 1 species